rnacentral:lncRNA from 1 species
UCUCGCAGAAAAUCACCAAAUCUUCGUCCGCACAAAUCCAUUUCGAAUCCUCCUGCUUCCGGCGAGCUCCAAGUCUUCGCAGCAUCAGCCAUGUCGGGCCGCGGCAAGGGAGGUAAGGGCCUGGGCAAGGGCGGCGCGAAGCGCCACCGGAAGGUGCUCCGCGACAACAUCCAGGGCAUCACGAAGCCGGCGAUCCGGAGGUUGGCGAGGAGGGGUGGCGUGAAGCGCAUCUCCGGCCUGAUCUACGAGGAGACUCGCGGCGUGCUCAAGAUCUUCCUCGAGAACGUCAUCCGCGACGCCGUUACCUACACGGAGCACGCCCGCCGCAAGACCGUCACCGCCAUGGACGUCGUCUACGCGCUCAAGCGCCAGGGCCGCACACUCUACGGCUUCGGCGGCUGAGCCUUGACCCCGUCCGCGUCCUGCAGGCUCGAGCUAGGGUUUCUGAUGGAU